rnacentral:rRNA from 1 species
UACGUAGGGGGCAAGCGUUGUCCGGAUUUACUGGGCGUAAAGAGCGCGUAGGUGGGGAAGCAAGUCCGGUGUGAAAGCCCCCGGCUCAACCGGGGAAGGUCGCUGGAAACUGCUUUUCUUGAGGUGGACAGAGGGAAGUGGAAUUCCUGGUGUAGCGGUGAAAUGCGUAGAUAUCAGGAGGAACACCCAUGGCGAAGGCAGCUUCCUGGGUCCAAACUGACGCUGAGGCGCGAAAGCGUGGGGAGCGAACGGG